rnacentral:lncRNA from 1 species
CUGAGAGAGGAUAGGAAACUGUGAUGAGAGGAAAGAUUCAUACCAGUAUCCACAGGUAAAGAAUUUUGCCAGGACUCAGAGAACAGCAUUCACUCACUGAAGUGUUAAUGGCAAAGCAAAUCUAGGUGCAAAGUUGGCUGACAGGUCCGCCACAGGAAGAUUUCUGUCUAUCACCAUUUCAACUGUAGGAUAGGAAAAUUAGAUUGUCUUCUAUGAAGCUUGAGAAAAGCUAAGUUUUGCAAACAAGCUCCUGACCAUACAGCAGUAGCCAGAACAAUGAACAGGACAUGAACAAUAAAGAAUCUGUGACCAACAGGAAGAUAUGGAGAUUUGCAUACUUUUAAAACCUUAUGUGAUUAAUAUUAGAUUCAAUCUUUACAUUUCUUUUUACAACAUUUUGUUCCAUAAAAAAUGUCAAGCGUGUGUUUGCUGGGAAGAGGAAGAGUUCAUUAUUCUUAUGGUUUUCUUCAUUAUAUUUUGAAAAGCCAAGGAUGGGGAAAUCAACAUUGGUAAAAGCAAUUAGUGAUGUGGGUUGAGGUGCGGGAAUUACAUCCUAUCCCUUG